UACGUAGGUGGCAAGCGUUGUCCGGAUUUACUGGGCGUAAAGGAUGCGUAGGCGGACAUUUAAGUCAGAUGUGAAAUACCCGAGCUUAACUUGGGUGCUGCAUUUGAAACUGGGUGUCUAGAGUGCAGGAGAGGUAAGUGGAAUUCCUAGUGUAGCGGUGAAAUGCGUAGAGAUUAGGAAGAACACCAGUGGCGAAGGCGACUUACUGGACUGUAACUGACGCUCAGGCGCGACAGCGUGGGGAUCAAACAGG
rnacentral:rRNA from 1 species